GCCCGGGUGGUGAAAUUGGUAAACACGCACGGUUGAGGGCCGUGUGCGCGAGCUUGCUGGUUCAAGUCCAGUCCCGGGCA
rnacentral:tRNA from 1 species